rnacentral:rRNA from 1 species
UGUCGCUGAUGGAUGGACCCGCGGUGCAUUAGCUAGUUGGUGAGGUAACGGCUCACCAAGGCCACGAUGCAUAGCCGACCUGAGAGGGUGAUCGGCCACACUGGGACUGAGACACGGCCCAGACUCCUACGGGAGGCAGCAGUAGGGAAUCUUCGGCAAUGGACGAAAGUCUGACCGAGCAACGCCGCGUGAGUGAAGAAGGUUUUCGGAUCGUAAAACUCUGUUGUUAGAGAAGAACAAGGACGUUAGUAACUGAACGUCCCCUGACGGUAUCUAACCAGAAAGCCACGGCUAACUACGUGCCAGCAGCCGCGGUAAUACGUAGGUGGCAAGCGUUGUCCGGAUUUAUUGGGCGUAAAGCGAGCGCAGGCGGUUUCUUAAGU